CCUGAGAAACCCAAAAGAUCGAAUGGGGAGAUUCAUCGUCAGCGAUCCUGGCACGUGUGCGGUUCGUGAUGCCAUAAGACUUCGGUCUUGAGGUACACGUCCGUGUGGGUUUUUGCCUGGUGUCGUCGGCGUGCACUUCUCCCCUAGUAGGACGUCGCGACCCGUUGGGUGUCGGUCUACGGCCCGGGUGGGUGCCUGUCAUGUGUACGACGCUUCACGGNGUCAUGUGGGUGACAGACCCCCGGUUGUCUGACCAGCUGCCCGGCGGUACUCGCACGGUAUUGAGCCGCAAAUUCGAACUGCGUCCGGCCCGCCGCAAGCGAGGCCAGUGUUUCCCGGAUGUACGGACCUAGUGCCGUCACCGGGCCUGGCCAGCUGUUGGUUGGCGGUGUCCUAGGACUGGCUUUUAACGAUACCGGUCGGCGACGCUACUGCUUUGGGUACUUUCAGGACCCGUCUUGAAACACGGACCAAGGAGUCUAACAUGUGCGCGAGUCAUUGGGACUUGUUAAGCCUAAAGGCGUAAUGAAAGUGAAGGUCGGGCUUGCUCCAACCGAGGGAGGAUGGGCCGCGUCACGAUGCG
rnacentral:rRNA from 1 species